rnacentral:rRNA from 1 species
CUACGGGGCGCUCCAGUGAGGAAUAUUGCACAAUGGGGGGAACCCUGAUGCAGCAACGCCGCGUGGAGGAUGACGCAUUUCGGUGUGUAAACUCCUUUUAUAUGUCAAGAAAAUGACGGUAGCAUAUGAAUAAGCACCGGCUAACUCCGUGCCAGCAGCCGCGGUAAUAUGGAGGGUGCAAGCGUUACUCGGAAUCACUGGGCGUAAAGGACGCGUAGGCGGGUUGGAAAGUCAGGUGUGAAAUCCUACAGCUUAACUGUAGAACUGCACUUGAAACUUCUAAUCUAGAGUAUGGGAGGGGGAGAUGGAAUUAGUGGUGUAGGGGUAAAAUCCGUAGAUAUCACUAGGAAUACCUAAAGCGAAGGCGAUCCCCUGGAACAUUACUGACGCUAAGGCGUGAAAGCGUGGGGAGCAAACAGGAUUAGAUACCCGCGUAGUC